AACGAACGCUGGCGGCGUGCCUAACACAUGCAAGUCGAGCGCGAAUGGGAGCAAUCCCUAGUAGAGCGACGCACGGGUGCGUAACACGUGGGUAAUCUGCCUGGAAGACUGGAAUAACCUGCCGAAAGGCUGGCUAAUACCAGAUAAGCUCACGACCUCUUCGGGGGUUGAGAGAAAAGGUGGCCUCUGUAUACAAGCUAUCACUUCCAGAUGAGCCCGCGGCCCAUCAGCUAGUUGGCGGGUAAUGGCCCACCAAGGCUACGACGGGUAGCUGGUCUGAGAGGACGAUCAGCCACACUGGAACUGAGACACGGUCCAGACUCCUACGGGAGGCAGCAGUGGGGAAUUUUGCACAAUGGGCGAAAGCCUGAUGCAGCAACGCCGCGUGUGUGAUGAAGGUCUUCGGAUUGUAAAGCACUUUCGACCGGACGAACCCGUUGGCUAAUAUCCAG
rnacentral:rRNA from 1 species